AGCGUCUGGAAAGGCGCGCGAUACAGGGUGACAGCCCCGUACACAAAAAUGCACAUACUGUGAGCUCGAUGAGUAGGGCGGGACACGUGGUAUCCUGUCUGAAUAUGGGGGGACCAUCCUCCAAGGCUAAAUACUCCUGACUGACCGAUAGUGAACCAGUACCGUGAGGGAAAGGCGAAAAGAACCCCGGCGAGGGGAGUGAAAAAGAACCUGAAACCGUGUACGUACAAGCAGUGGGAGCACAGAGCAAUCUGUGUGACUGCGUACCUUUUGUAUAAUGGGUCAGCGACUUAUAUUCUGUAGCAAGGUUAACCGAAUAGGGGAGCCGAAGGGAAACCGAGUCUUAACUGGGCGUUAAGUUGCAGGGUAUAGACCCGAAACCCGGUGAUCUAGCCAUGGGCAGGUUGAAGGUUGGGUAACACUAACUGGAGGACCGAACCGACUAAUGUUGAAAAAUUAGCGGAUGACUUGUGGCUGGGGGUGAAAGGCCAAUCAAACCGGGAGAUAGCUGGUUCUCCCCGAAAGCUAUUUAGGUAGCGCCUCGUGAAUUCAUCUCCGGGGGUAGAGCACUGUUUCGGCAAGGGGGUCAUCCCGACUUACCAACCCGAUGCAAACUGCGAAUACCGGAGAAUGUUAUCACGGGAGACACACGGCGGGUGCUAACGUCCGUCGUGAAGAGGGAAACAACCCAGACCGCCAGCUAAGGUCCCAAAGUCAUGGUUAAGUGGGAAACGAUGUGGGAAGGCCCAGACAGCCAGGAUGUUGGCUUAGAAGCAGCCAUCAUUUAAAGAAAGCGUAAUAGCUCACUGGUCGAGUCGGCCUGCGCGGAAGAUGUAACGGGGCUAAACCAUGCACCGAAGCUGCGGCAGCGACGCUUAUGCGUUGUUGGGUAGGGGAGCGUUCUGUAAGCCUGCGAAGGUGUGCUGUGAGGCAUGCUGGAGGUAUCAGAAGUGCGAAUGCUGACAUAAGUAACGAUAAAGCGGGUGAAAAGCCCGCUCGCCGGAAGACCAAGGGUUCCUGUCCAACGUUAAUCGGGGCAGGGUGAGUCGACCCCUAAGGCGAGGCCGAAAGGCGUAGUCGAUGGGAAACAGGUUAAUAUUCCUGUACUUGGUGUUACUGCGAAGGGGGGACGGAGAAGGCUAUGUUGGCCGGGCGACGGUUGUCCCGGUUUAAGCGUGUAGGCUGGUUUUCCAGGCAAAUCCGGAAAAUCAAGGCUGAGGCGUGAUGACGAGGCACUACGGUGCUGAAGCAACAAAUGCCCUGCUUCCAGGAAAAGCCUCUAAGCAUCAGGUAACAUCAAAUCGUACCCCAAACCGACACAGGUGGUCAGGUAGAGAAUACCAAGGCGCUUGAGAGAACUCGGGUGAAGGAACUAGGCAAAAUGGUGCCGUAACUUCGGGAGAAGGCACGCUGAUAUGUAGGUGAAGUCCCUCGCGGAUGGAGCUGAAAUCAGUCGAAGAUACCAGCUGGCUGCAACUGUUUAUUAAAAACACAGCACUGUGCAAACACGAAAGUGGACGUAUACGGUGUGACGCCUGCCCGGUGCCGGAAGGUUAAUUGAUGGGGUUAGCGCAAGCGAAGCUCUUGAUCGAAGCCCCGGUAAACGGCGGCCGUAACUAUAACGGUCCUAAGGUAGCGAAAUUCCUUGUCGGGUAAGUUCCGACCUGCACGAAUGGCGUAAUGAUGGCCAGGCUGUCUCCACCCGAGACUCAGUGAAAUUGAACUCGCUGUGAAGAUGCAGUGUACCCGCGGCAAGACGGAAAGACCCCGUGAACCUUUACUAUAGCUUGACACUGAACAUUGAGCCUUGAUGUGUAGGAUAGGUGGGAGGCUUUGAAGUGUGGACGCCAGUCUGCAUGGAGCCGACCUUGAAAUACCACCCUUUAAUGUUU
rnacentral:rRNA from 1 species